GUAGAUGUGAAUGGAAGCUUUAAAGAGCACCUGUGAUCACCUGUGUCAGUACACACUCCUCUCCUGCUAACACCCAGAGAACUGAAGAUCCAGCCAGCAUCAUGAACCACUUUAUUGAUUCAGCAGUCGACAAAGCAGCUAAUGUUGCUAAAGUGAAGGUGAAGUCUAUGCUUGGAGGAGGAGGAGGAGCAGCAGGAGAUUCCAAGAAGCAGGGCAAGUCUGGCGGAGGACUAGGAGGACUAGGAGGCAUUGGAGGCCUCUUCCCCUCUGCAUCAGAUGGCGGCAAGAAAGAGACGUCAAAGGGAGGUGGACUGUUUGAUGGGCUUAAAACUUCACCCAGUGAGGAGCCAAGAUAUGAACCCAGUGGAGGAGCCAGCGGAGGAGCAGAAAGUGAGUCAUCAUUCUUAAUUAAAGCUGAUAUCUGUAAUUUUUGGGAUUUGGGGGAUUUAGGGCCCUCUCUGGUGAGAAUGGGCAAUUGCACAGAGUAUGCAGAAGAAUCAUAUUAAACUGGGCGGGUGUGAUGUGGUCUCCUUUUCGAGUGGAUGAAUCCGAUUCCCUGUUCUGUUCAGUCAGAGAGAGAAAAAGAGCAUGCUCAGUCAGACUCAGCAUCACUCACAGAGCUCUCUUCACAGUUCAAACCCCAAUCCCAUAUCAAUCCUGGUUUUAGCACGUACUCUAUUGUGCUCCUUUUCGGCUUUAGAGCUUACUUCACUCCUUUGUUUCUUGUUUGUUUGAUUUUUUUAUGGGUAAAUGAGCUACUGAGCUCUGAGUUUCAUAUUCUGAAGUCUCCAUUGCUCCACCAGCCGCUCGCAUUCAGUAAAACUGAGCCGGAUCCUCUUUUAGAGAAUGUACGUGUGACCUAAGAACGUAAAGACGCGUGAGGUGGCCAAAAGAACAUCCCAGUUUUUGGAAUAAAUAUAUUAGACUUAGCA
rnacentral:lncRNA from 1 species